GCUAAUGUGCAGCUAUACUCAUAGCAUCUCAACAUAUCUAUCACUCUCUCUCCCCCUCUCCAGGCUUCCUUAUGCCAUGCUCGUGAAGUAGUGAUAUUCUGCUAUUGCAUUUCACAGGAGAAGGCACAGAGACAAUCAGUAGGUCUCCCGACAUGGCAAGAAAUUGGAGUCAAGUGUCCCAAACUAGAGGCAGUGCUCUAUUACUUCAAUCGUAGGUGUUGUAAUAUGAAAUUCUGCUCAACUUCCAAGCAAGCAAAUCUCCAUCCUGCAAAGUGCAGAGAAGAGCCUGAAGUGCUAGGACACCCCACUGACUGCAGAACAGGGAAAACACUGACAAAUCCUUGAUUCCCUGUAUAGUACAAAGUAUGAACAUGAAGAAGAGGGAAGGAGGAAAAGAUGGCAGGUGUGGACCUGCAGCUCUCUUGCCUAUGUCCUGAGAGGGCCCUGUCUCCUCAGUUGCACCAGCACUGUGGUUUCUGGCAUUGUUCUGCAGAGGCAAUCACCACAAAAAUCUGGAUGAACAAACUUCUCAUGUAUAUGGCAGGGCAACCUCAGAAAGUGGUGUGCACAGCAGCUGGUAUUGCUGUCUUGGCUGUCUUGGCCAUGAAGAUCAUGCUCCAGCCUGGCUGCAGCUCCUAAGGGAAGCAGAGGUGACCUCUUGUGACUUUCAGUGUCCUUUCCUUCUGCUCCCCGCUCCAUACCUUUUGAACCCAUAUGGCAGUUUAUGUCUAAAUUGAAACAAGCAUAGAUAACUCAAAGACAUUUACAUUUCUUGGGGUUCUGACAAAAUUAAUGACUGGGUAGAGGUGAAAGAUCCAUGUUUAUGCUACCGGAAAGAUCAGCAAGUCAAGCUCCUGUGAAGCUCUGAACUGACCACAGCCCAUCCUGUAUCCUGUGUGGUGGGGGCCCUGAGUGGCCUUGGAGAGACAGAAGAUGAAGUUUCUGUAAAGGUGAAGCUGUGGGAUAUGUUCUUCAUGGGACAAUAGACUUCAUGUCUUUCACUGCUCAUAAAUCAUUUGGUUACCAUCACCUAACUGAUUGCCAAUAAAUUUGUUAAUUUA
rnacentral:lncRNA from 1 species